rnacentral:rRNA from 1 species
UACGAAGGGGGCUAGCGUUGUUCGGAAUUACUGGGCGUAAAGGGCGCGUAGGUGGCUUUGUAAGUCAGGAGUGAAAUCCCUGGGCUCAACCCAGGAAUUGCUUUUGAGACUACAUGGCUUGAGUACAGGAGAGGUGAGUGGAAUUCCCAGUGUAGAGGUAAAAUUCGUAGAUAUUGGGAGGAACACCAGUGGCGAGGCGGCUCACUGGCCUGUAACUGACACUGAGGCGCGAAAGCGUGGGGAGCAAACAGG